rnacentral:rRNA from 1 species
AGCAGCCGCGGUAAUUCCAGCUCCAAUAGCGUAUAUUAAAGUUGUUGCAGUUAAAAAGCUCGUAGUUGAAUUUCGGGGUUCUUCCGUUGGUCGGGCUAUCCAGUCUGUACUAGCGUGUAGAAUUCCUACCUUCUGGGGAACCAUCAUGUUAUUAAUUUAGCGUGGUGGGAAACCAGAACCUUUACCUUGAAAAAAUUAGAGUGUUCAAAGCAGGCUUACGUCUGAAUACAUUAGCAUGGAAUAAUAGAAUAGGACGGUGGUCCUGUUUUGUUGGUUUCUGAAUCACCGUAAUGAUUAAUAGGGAUAGUUGGGGGCAUUAGUAUUCAAUUGUCAGAGGUGAAAUUCUUGGAUUUAUUGAAGACUAACUUCUGCGAAAGCAUUUGCCAAGGAUGUUUUCAUUAAUCAAGAACGAAAGUUAGGGGAUCGAAGACGAUCAGAUACCGUCGUAGUCUUAACCAUAAACUAUGCCGACUAGGGAUCGGACGAUGUUAAAUUUAUUGACUCGUUCGGCGCCCUACGG